rnacentral:rRNA from 1 species
UACGAAGGGGGCUAGCGUUGCUCGGAAUCACUGGGCGUAAAGGGUGCGUAGGCGGGUUUUUAAGUCAGAGGUGAAGUCCUGGAGCUCAACUCCAGAACUGCCUUUGAUACUGAAAGUCUUGAGUAUGGGAGAGGUGAGUGGAACUGCGAGUGUAGAGGUGAAAUUCGUAGAUAUUCGCAAGAACACCAGUGGCGAAGGCGGCUCACUGGCCCAUUACUGACGCUGAGGCACGAAAGCGUGGGGAGCAAACAGG